rnacentral:rRNA from 1 species
GUCCACGCCCUAAACGAUGUCUACUUGCUGUUGGGGGUAACCUUAGUAGCGAAGCUAACGCGAGAAGUAGACCGCCUGGGGAGUACGGUCGCAAGAUUAAAACUCAAAGGAAUUGACGGGGACCCGCACAAGCGGUUGAUGAUGUGGAUUAAUUCGAUGCAACGCGAAAACCUUACCUGCUCUUGACAUGUACGGAAGACUUCAGAGAUGAGGUUGUGCCUUCGGGAACCGUAACACAGGUGCUGCAUGGCUGUCGU